rnacentral:rRNA from 1 species
ACGCUCGACACCUACGGGAGGCGGCAGUGGGGAAUAUUGCACAAUGGGGGGAAACCCUGAUGCAGCGACGCCGCGUGAAGGAAGAAGUAUUUCGGUAUGUAAACUUCUAUCAGCAGGGAAGAAGAUGGCGGUACCUGACUAAGAAGCCCCGGCUAACUACGUGCCAGCAGCCGCGGUAAUCUGAGGCGGGCUGGCAAGGC